rnacentral:rRNA from 1 species
AACGAACGCUGGCGGCAGGCCUAACACAUGCAAGUCGAGCGCCCCGCAAGGGGAGCGGCGGACGGGUGAGUAACGCGUGGGAACGUGCCCCAAGGUACGGAAUAGCCCCGGGAAACUGGGGGUAAUACCGUAUGUGCCCUACGGGGGAAAGAUUUAUCGCCUUGGGAUCGGCCCGCGUUGGAUUAGGUAGUUGGUGGGGUAAUGGCCUACCAAGCCGACGAUCCAUAGCUGGUUUGAGAGGAUGAUCAGCCACACUGGGGCUGAGACACGGCCCAGACUCCUACGGGAGGCAGCAGUGGGGAAUCUUAGACAAUGGGCGCAAGCCUGAUCUAGCCAUGCCGCGUGAGCGAUGAAGGCCUUAGGGUUGUAAAGCUCUUUCAGGGGGGAAGAUAAUGACUGUACCCCCAGAAGAAGCCCCGGCUAACUCCGUG